CAAAAUCACUACAUUCUUUACUUAGAAAUAUUUGCACCCAAAUGAAGUGAGUCAUUAUUAGAUAAAUAGAGGAACUUCUAAAUCCCUUAUAGGAGAGAAUUUAGUUUUUAAAAAAUAUGUUUUCCAAUUAGACAAUUAUGACUCUUACGGGCACUUCUCUGGGUGUCGGAUUCCCUUCUGCCUGUAAAGCUACUGAAAGUUGUCUCCUGAUAUUUAUCUCUCUUUCUUAUUUUUUGGUGCCCACAUCUAGCUCACCAUGUUGCACUUCCCAGAUACGCACUUGAGCCACUGAGCUAAGUCCCCAGCCCCCUCUUCUUCUUAUAUAAUAACAGAAUAUUUCCUAGCCUGCCUUUUUUGUGGCUAGUUGUAACAUUAGAAUUGUAAGGUAAAGAGACUGUAUUUGUCUUCCUUUGCUAUUUAGACAUUGUUAAAGUGGCAGGAAAUCUUGAACUACUGAUAUGCAGAUACUGGAAGAGCCAAAAAGGUGGAACAGAAGGAGCUUUUUCUCCAGACAAACUUUGAGCAAAACUAUCAUUCCAGCCCUGGCUAAGAGAGCGCUGUACCCCCCGUGUCCCGACAAGGCGUGCGUGUUUACCUUGCCCGGAGUUCAGAGUGCUCUAGACACUCACGACAGUUAGUUUUUUCACACAGGUUCAAAAACAAACAUU
rnacentral:lncRNA from 1 species